UACAGAGGGUGCGAGCGUUAAUCGGAAUUACUGGGCGUAAAGCGCGCGUAGGCGGACCUGCAAGUCGGGGGUGAAAGCCCGAGGCUCAACCUCGGAACUGCCUUCGAUACCGCGGGUCUCGAGUCCGGGAGAGGUGAGUGGAAUUCCUAGUGUAGAGGUGAAAUUCGUAGAUAUUAGGAAGAACACCAGUGGCGAAGGCGGCUCACUGGCCCGGUACUGACGCUGAGGCGCGAAAGCGUGGGGAGCAAACAGG
rnacentral:rRNA from 1 species